GGAGGCCUUUUCCUCCUCCCAAAGACCCCUUUUUUGUCUUCCUCCCCUUUCCCCUUCUUCUUCCUCCUCCGUUCUCCGCAAUGCAAGAAGCCUCCGAGGAGUGAUAACCCAUCUCCCAGCUGGUCGAUCCGCUGGGGGAGAAGAAUAGAAGGAAGGAAAAGACUCAACGGAUGAUCCUAAAAAUGGAGGAUCAGAGGAGAAAGGAGAGAGGCAGGCAACUCGAGAUCCAGAUGAUGAAGGAAAAGAGGAUCCAGCAUCAGGUGGGAUAUGGCUCCUCCUCAUCCUCCAAUACGCCGCAGAAUUCGAAUUUCGAGGGUGUUGAAUUUUUCAAUCCAUAUACAAGAGGAGUUGUCAGAUGAACAUCCAACAACUGAAUGGUCAGGUUCUUUCUAAAGAGGUUGCGUAUGAGAUUAGGAAGUGGUAUCUAGCUAAACUUUUCAAAUGUAAGCAUCACAUAAUUGCCAGUAACAGCAGUUAAUUUUAUGUUUUAGCUGGAGCUUUCACAACACCACAAUCAAAGUUGGAUUUCAUUAUAAUGCUUAUCUGUAUUCAUACUAAUCCAAGAGGAGGAAUUUGCGUAAUGAUUCGUAAAAAUGGUCACUGGAUGAGAGUUAACCUUCCGUAUGGGGAUGUGAGCAUGAACAGCUUAUACUGCAUGAUGACAAGAUAUAUUGAUAAGUUGUUAAAGCGGAUUAUAUGUUAUACUACUAGAUUAAGAUAUAAGAUUACAACUCUUUAUCUCUACAAAUUUUAAGUGAUGUAGAAAAUCAAGAGAUAACAUCGAAUAUUGAACAGUUAAUGUUUGAAUGGAUUCCUGCAAAAUCCUAUCCCUAGUUGAAUUUCUUGGUGCUAACUUUUAAUCUCCAGCCCUAAGAAAUUCAACCGGCGGUAAGAUUUUGUAGGAAUCUAUUCAAACAUUGACUGCUCGAUAUUCAAUAUUAUCUCUAGAUUGUCUGCAUUACUUAAAACUUGUACAGAUGAAGAGUUGCAUUCUCAUAUUUUAAUCUCGUAUUAUGACAUAUAAUCUGCUUUGAUUACUUAUCCACAUAUCUUGUCAUCAUGUAUAAUUAAGCUGUUCAUGCCCACAUCCUCAUACAGAAGGUUAGCUCUCGUCUUGAUCAUUUUCAUGUACUUAUUACAUGAAUCCCUUUUAUUUGAUCAGUAUGAUUGUAGAUAAGUACCAUAAUGGAAUCCAGCUCUAAUGGCGGUAUUGUAAAAGCUCCUGUUAAAACAUAAUACUGGUUGCUAUUAACAGAUAUCAGUAAUUGUGUGGCUCUUGCAUUUCAAAGAUUUAGAAAAUAAAUAUCGUUUGUUGAUCUCAUAAGCAACCACUAAAUCUAGUGUGUCCGGCCGUGCCAUCUACAUCAACAACGAAGACCAUUGGAUCUCAAUGCAUAUGAUCUGCCCUGGAGAUGAAGCUUGGAAGGUGUAUGCCUUUAAGAAGCAUGAGCGAUUUACUUCUAUAAGUGCUAUGACUUUAGUCGGAAUGCAGGUUCUGUGCAUUGAUUGUAAGAAAGGGAGGUUUGUCACUCUUGAUCUGCUAGAAAAGAGUUGGAUGUUCUUCUCACAUCACCAUAACCUUAUAGGUGGUUCGAAAAACAUUGUCGAAGGUGAAGGGGAAAUUGUGAGGGUCUAUUUUGUGUCUCCAUGCUUCAGCUCUUUAAACUUCUCUGAACUGAAUAUCUGGAUGAUCUUGAGUUGGAGAAAACCAGUUGUUGCUCAUUUUGCAUGGAGGAACAGGGGAAGGAAGGUUUCCACUUUAAGACCGAAUGAAUAUUGGGAGCCAAGAUGUCUGGACCUUGAGGCAGCAAAACGGAAGAGAUUCAUCUGGGAAGAACCAACUGAUCCUGAUAUGGAGUCAAAUGUCUAUAUCCACAACUUGGCGGAUGGCAGCUAUGAAAGUCUACCGCCAAAUUCAUUCCCUGCUAAGCGCGUGGCAUGGAUCUUGUCAGCUAACAAAGAACUCUUUCUCAAUCUGUGGGCCAUCAGCUCUUUCUGUUUGCAUGGUCAUUCUAUGUAAAAAGUCAUUGACCUAGAUUGUGGUGUUUUAGGGGCUUUUGCCUAAACAGAUGCGAGUAUGGAGGGGGAUGUGACACAUGACACAUUGCUCUCUAUCUUGCAAUCCAACUGAUCAAAUAGAUUUCAGGAUCGCGUUUUGGCAUUUUGUUUCAUUUGGCCGACCGUUUUCUACAUUUCUAACUGGUUCGCAUUUAUACAUUUGAUGAUACGCUGCAUCGCAUGAACUGAUGCAUUUUAUUGAGACGUGUGGGACUUUGUGUCCACGCAUUUAUCUGCCUUCA